GGCCAUCUGCCCAGGGUGGCACCACUCAACAAUGGUUCGGGCGCCUUCCAUAUAGAUCAUUAAUCAAGGAACUGACCCCCCCUCCCCUGUGAACUUGCCUACAAGCCAAUCUGACGGAGUCAUGUUCUCAGGGGCCAUUGCCUUUCUUCUUAGCUUGUAUCAAGUUGACAAAAAAGAAAAAAGGAAAAAAAAAAAAAAGCCAAAACCAGCAACCUAAUCUUCACACGGACAACUGGUUGAGCUAAGAGAGAGUUGGACCAGGUGGGAGCGGCUUUCCAAACUCAGGGCUACUGCCCUGUUUCUAGACCUUGGGCAUAGCUUUCCUUCCUUGCCUCUCUCUUCUGUAGGCGAAAAAUUCCUUUUGCAAUGAUCCCAGUCUGAAACAUUUAAACUGUGUGAGCCUUGGAGGAAUCCUGCCCAGGGCUGCACUGUAGAUCUUCUAGGGUAGAGGACUUAGCCCGCAUCUGUGCCAUGGAUGUUCCAGGAUGUUAACCUUCAUCACCGGAGGAAAGAGUAGCCCUAUAAAAAGCCAGGGUUCUGAAUCAAGCGUUGUGACCAAGGGCAGAUUCCAUCUUCUAUCUUAUGAGAGACUUUGAUCUAGUUGACACCACAGGACUGUGAGCAUCUCACAAGUGACACUGUCCAGCCAUACACUCACAUAGCUGCUGGAGCCUCUGCAGGUGGCUCUCUGUCAACCUCAGCUCACUCCGGCGCCCUUCCUACAAGUCAUUCACACGUGGAUCGCCAGGAGUCAUCGAUCUCAUGAGGACUGCCGACAGAGUAAAGCCAUGUGACACCUGGCCAGAGAACCUGGACAGCAGGGACGAUUCCAGAGGUGGGAGCAGUGAACUGAACAAAGGAGACAUGCCUGCUUGGCCCCAGUCACAGAGGCAGGAACAUGAGAAAUUACCCAUUUGUGCCUGAAGGAAAAGAGUGUCCAACAGUAACUGAACAUGGUCAGUGAAGUCCAAAGCUGGUAACGGUUGGUUGCUUGCUUCCUCAAAUGGGCUUAAUGACACUAUCCCUAUCCUAUCCAAGAAACUGCCCCUUGGGGCAAAGGCAGGCCUGGUGAAGUGAUCCCCACCCAACACACAGUGCCAUCUGCCUCCGGGGAGAACAGCAAACCUGGAGUAGUAAUGUAAGCCUUUGUUUCUCUGCUACAGCCUCCUGUAGCCUCUGGAACCUCCCCUCCCUGCUGACAGCUAAGGUAUGAUGGGGAUUGGAACCCAGGGGGAGCAUGUCUCUCCCUUCAGGCCAGACACUUACACCCUCACUCUGUGGAACUUCUCAAAACAGGGCAUUUAGGAAGCGCCAGGAGGCUGGUUCCCCAAAUCAGUAGGGGCCUUCACUGCUGGACCUAAACAGCAAACAGAUAAUGUGAGUCUCCUCAGGGUCCCUCGGCUGACUGGCAGUUUCCAGUGAGAGCUUGACCCAGGCUACCCCAUGGGACAAAAUUACAGUGGCCCUAGCUGCCACUCAAGAGGGCCCUUCUGUGUACAUGACUACUCUGUCCUUCCAUAACUUAGGUCAUCCAACUGUAUACAGGCCUCAGCCAUACCCAACAAGCCAAGCAAUCGCUGCUCCGUGUCCAAGCCGGUAGGCUCGUCGCUUUCGUAACUGCUCCCAAGCCUUCUCUCAGGAUAAAAAGAGACCUCCCAAACCUAGGGCGGCCCAUUGGGUGUGGCUGGCAGUCCCAUAUUCUCCUGGUGGUGGGGCCAGGAAGCAGAGCUGCAGACCAUGGCUUCUCUUCCCGGGUGGCACCCAAUUGAUGGCCUGUCAGCUUCGAAAAUGUUUUCAUCUCUGGAAGAAACAACGCGUGAAAGAGCAGUUCUGAAAGCGGAAUUAAGAGCUUGUUAGACACGGGCCUUGGGUCAGGGUAGGUGGCCUAUCUGGGGGGCCUUGGAGGAGACAUGCUGGGAUUCUUUUUUUUUUUUUUUAACCCAGCCGUUCUCCCCCACAGUUCCCCGCUUAAUGAAGCCGUUGUACAAGGCCCUGGGAGAGCCCACAUGCUCCAAAGUAGUACCAAGUGUCCCAUUACUGUAAACGGCCUUUUAGUUUUAAGCUAAUGCUAUAUUUGGAAAGUAAUAAAUCCUGGGGAAAUGAUACUGAGACUAACGGGGAACAUAUUACCUUUCAUGUGUGUUUUUCAUGUUUAAGAUUUCUUUGUUAUUAUCUGAGGAGUGAGGCUCUGCACACACUCUUGGGCAAAAAAAAAAAAAAAAAAAAAAAAUAAGCCUUAAAGCAGUAAUAUUUUAAUAAGCAUCAAAUGUCUUCGAUGAGAUAAAAGUAUUAUAUAGUGUUUUGAUAUUGGGCUUUAGUUAAAGCCUC
rnacentral:lncRNA from 1 species